rnacentral:rRNA from 1 species
UCCUUUGUUGCCAGCGGUUAGGCCGGGAACGUCAAAGGAGACUGCCAGUGAUAAACUGGAGGAAGGUGGGGAGUGACGUCAAGUCAUCAUGGCCCUUACGACCAGGGCUACACACGUGCUACAAUGGCGCAUACAAAGAGAAGCGACCUCGCGAGAGCAAGCGGACCUCAUAAAGUGCGUCGUAGUCCGGAUUGGAGUCUGCAACUCGACUCCAUGAAGUCGGAAUCGCUAGUAAUCGUGGAUCAGAAUGCCACGGUGAAUACGUUCCCGGGCCUUGUACACACCGCCCGUCACACCAUGGGAGUGGGUUGCAAAAGAAGUAGGUAGCUUAACCUUCGGGAGGGCGCUUACCACUUUGUGAUUCAUGACUGGGGUGAAGUCGUAACAAGGUAACCGUAGGGGAACCUGCGGUUGGAUCACCUCCUUACCUUAAAGAA